rnacentral:rRNA from 1 species
UUUAUUGGAGAGUUUGAUCCUGGCUCAGGACGAACGCUGGCGGCGUGCCUAAUACAUGCAAGUCGAGCGGACAGAUGGGAGCU